rnacentral:hammerhead_ribozyme from 1 species
AUCCAGACGAAGAGUCCAAAAUAGGACGAAGUACGUAUCUUACAGGAU